UACAGGGGGGGCAAGCGUUGUUCGGAAUUACUGGGCGUAAAGGGUUCGUAGGCGGCCUUCUAAGUCGGACGUGAAAUCCCUCGGCUUAACCGAGGAACUGCGUCCGAUACUGAAAGGCUUGAAUCCGGGAGAGGGAUGUGGAAUUCCAGGUGUAGCGGUGAAAUGCGUAGAUAUCUGGAGGAACACCGGUGGCGAAGGCGGCAUCCUGGACCGGUAUUGACGCUGAGGCGCGAAAGCGUGGGGAGCAAACAGG
rnacentral:rRNA from 1 species